rnacentral:lncRNA from 1 species
GCAUUCAUGCACAAAUUUAGUCUGUCGUUGCAGAGUACCACCAUACAACGCAACCAACUCCUCAUUAAAGUUGACACUGAAGAAAUUAAAAUGAUACUUGAAGUCAAGAUCUUCUGCUUUUCUAAGAGCAAUGGAGCCAAGAGAACGCACUUGUUUGUAACUGCCAGCAUUUCCAGGAAGAAAGAGAAUUGGAAUGCCUGUCAAUAUCAGAUUUUUGUUUUCUUCAGCAUAAUUCCCUUCUCCAUAGAGAUAGAGCUCAUACGCUGGAUAUCGCCUGGCUGUUUUCUUCGGUAAUUUUAUUUUCUGUUGCAGGUACUCGGGGUACUCGUACAUGUAGGUCAUGCUGCACCGGUUCUCCUCGUAAACGAACAGCACGUCCCGCACCCCCAGCAGCACCAGCGCCGCCAGAGCCCCGUAAAGCACCGCCGCCACCGCGGGCAGC